rnacentral:rRNA from 1 species
GGGCCCGCACAAGCGGUGGAGCAUGUGGUUUAAUUCGAUGCAACGCGAAGAACCUUACCAGGGCUUGACAUACUACAAAUCCUUUUGAGAAAAGGAGUGCCUUCGGGAAUGUAGAUACAGGUGGUGCAUGGCUGUCGUCAGCUCGUGUCGUGAGAUGUUGGGUUAAGUCCCGCAACGAGCGCAACCCUUAUUUUUAGUUACCAAUUCGUUGGGUUCUCUAGAAAGACUGCCGGUGACAAACCGGAGGAAGGUGAGGAUGACGUCAAGUCAGCAUGCCCCUUAUGUCCUGGGCUACACACGUGCUACAAUGGCUAAGACAAAGAGUCGCGAGCUUGCAAAAGUCAGCUAAUCUCAUAAACUUAGCCUAAGUUCAGAUUGUAGGCUGCAACUCGCCUACAUGAAGUUGGAAUC